rnacentral:rRNA from 1 species
AGAGUUUGAUCCUGGCUCAGGAUGAACGCUAGCGGCAGGCCUAAUACAUGCAAGUCGAACGGCAAGUAGUGUAGCAAUACAUUACCUAGAGUGACGUACGGGUGCGUAACACGUAUGCAACCUACCCUUUACAGAUGGAUAGCUCGGGGAAACUCGAAUUAACCCGUCAUAAAAUAAUUGAAUGGCAUCAUUUGAUUAUUAAAACUCCGGUGGUAAAGGAUGGGCAUGCGUCUGAUUAGUUAGUUGGUAGUGUAACGGACUACCAAGACGAUGAUCAGUAGGGGAACUGAGAGGUUGAUCCCCCACACUGGCACUGAGAUACGGGCCAGACUCCUACGGGAGGCAGCAGUAGGGAAUAUUGGUCAAUGGAUGCAAGUCUGAACCAGCCAUGCCGCGUGCAGGAAGAAGGCCUUCUGGGUUGUAAACUGCUUUUGUCAGGGGAUAAAAUUUCCUUGCGAGGAAAAUUGAAGGUACCUGGCGAAUAAGCCACGGCUAACUACGUGCCAGCAGCCGCGGUAAUACGUAGGUGGCAAGCGUUGUCCGGAUUUAUUGGGUUUAAAGGGUGCGUAGGCGGCCUAUUAAGUCAGUGGUGAAAUAUCUCAGCUUAACUGAGAAGGUGCCAAUGAUACUGAUGGGCUUGAGUACAGAUGAGGUAGGCGGAAUUGACGGUGUAGCGGUGAAAUGCUUAGAUAUCGUCAAGAACACCUAUAGCGAAGGCAGCUUACUAGGCUGUAACUGACGCUGAGGCACGAAAGUGUGGGGAUCAAACAGGAUUAGAUACCCCAGUAGUCC